rnacentral:pre_miRNA from 1 species
AGGCAGUGCAUUGCUAGCUGGCUGUUAGAACUUCGUCCCAACAGUGGCUAGCUGCACUACCCU